rnacentral:ncRNA from 1 species
GCCGGGUUCGGAGAGGUGGCAGAGCGGUUGAAUGUACCUGACUCGAAAUCAGGCAGGCGUUUAUAGCGCCUCGAGGGUUCGAAUCCCUCCCUCUCCGCCAGUUGACCGAAAGGGGGCCCACC